AAAUAUUCUAUAAGUUAUGAUUCAGCUAUGAUUUAGCUUUUUAUAAUACUACUUUGGCAAUCCCGCUUGUUUUCCUCUCGUCGCAUAGUCGCCCUUGUCCCAUUAGCCAAUCGCGUGUUCGGGUUGAACGUGGAUAGUCGCUGCUUACCACUUUAUCCCCCAUUCUCGUUUUGUGAUUUCUCGUCUCAUUUUGUGAACUUGAUUCACUUUCUACUUAUUCAUCGUUCUUGGUAAUGGCAGAUGUACUUCAAACGAUGUCGCAAAAUAAUCCUUGGCGCGUUAUUGGAAACGUGCGCAAGAAGUAUACUAUAUUACGCGGCCCAAUAAAGAUUCGUGAUUUGUGCACAGACCCACAUGACGAAACCUUUGUUGAUAAAGUAGUUACUGUUUGUUGUUGUUUACUUAAUGCAAUGCCAAGUGUUGUACCUCCUACUUAAAUACCAACGAAUAAAUGAAGUCAUGGUGAUGAAAACUA